GACGAACGCUGGCGGCGUGCUUAACACAUGCAAGUCGAACGAAGAGCGACGGAAGCUUGCUUCUAUCAAUCUUAGUGGCGAACGGGUGAGUAACGCGUAAUCAACCUGCCCUUCAGAGGGGGACAACAGUUGGAAACGACUGCUAAUACCGCAUACGAUCUAAUCUCGGCAUCGAGGAUGGAUGAAAGGUGGCCUCUACAUGUAAGCUAUCACUGAAGGAGGGGAUUGCGUCUGAUUAGCUAGUUGGAGGGGUAACGGCCCACCAAGGCGAUGAUCAGUAGCCGGUCUGAGAGGAUGAACGGCCACAUUGGGACUGAGACACGGCCCAGACUCCUACGGGAGGCAGCAGGGGGGAAUCUUCCGCAAUGGACGAAAGUCUGACGGAGCAACGCCGCGUGAGUGAUGACGGCCUUCGGGUUGUAAAGCUCUGUUAAUCGGGACGAAAGGCCUUCUUGCGAAUAGUGAGAAGGAUUGACGGUACCGGAAGAGAAAGCCACGGCUAACUACGUG
rnacentral:rRNA from 1 species